GUCCACGCCCUAAACGAUGUCAACUAGUUGUUAGGGAAGCAAUUCCUUGGUAACGAAGCUAACGCGUGAAGUUGACCGCCUGGGGAGUACGGCCGCAAGGUUAAACUCAAAGGAAUUGACGGGGACCCGCACAAGCGGUGGAUUAUGUGGAUUAAUUCGAUGCAACGCGAAACCUUACCUACCCUUGACAUGUACGGAACCUCGCAGAGAUGUGAGGGUGCCCGAAAGGGAGCCGUAACACAGGUGCUGCAUGGCUGUCGU
rnacentral:rRNA from 1 species